UACAGAGGUCCCGAGCGUUGUUCGGAUUCAUUGGGCGUAAAGGGUGCGUAGGCGGCUUGCUAAGUUUGAUGUGAAAUCCUGGGGCUCAACCCUGGGACUGCAUUGAAUACUGGCAGGCUAGAGUACUGGAGAGGAAACUGGAAUUUACGGUGUAGCAGUGAAAUGCGUAGAGAUCGUAAGGAAGACCAGUGGCGAAGGCGAGUUUCUGGACAGUAACUGACGCUGAGGCACGAAGGCCAGGGGAGCAAACGGG
rnacentral:rRNA from 1 species